AGCAGCCGCGGUAAUUCCAGCUCCAAUAGCGUAUAUUAAAGUUGUUGCAGUUAAAAAGCUUGUAGUUGAAUUUCGGGGUUAGUAGGUUGGUCAUGCCUCUGGUAUGUACUGGUCUCACUGAUUCCUCCUUCCUGAUGAACCGUAAUGCCAUUAAUUUGGUGUUGCGGGGAAUUUGGACUGUUACUUUGAAAAAAUUAGAGUGUUUAAAGCAAGCUAACGCUUGAAUACAUUAGCAUGGAAUAAUGAAAUAGGACGUUCGAUCCUAUUUUGUUGGUUUCUAGGAUUGACGUAAUGAUUAAUAGGGAUAGUUGGGGGCAUUAGUAUUCAAUUGUCAGAGGUGAAAUUCUUGGAUUUAUUGAAGACUAACUACUGCGAAAGCAUUUGCCAAGGAUGUUUUCAUUAAUCAAGAACGAAAGUUAGGGGAUCGAAGACGAUCAGAUACCGUCGUAGUCUUAACCAUAAACUAUGCCGACUAGGGAUCGGAUGAUGUUAAUUUUUUAAUGACUCAUUCGGCGCCUUACG
rnacentral:rRNA from 1 species